rnacentral:lncRNA from 1 species
CUUGCUUUGAUGCUCAGUUCUAAUACCAAAUGUUAGGAAUACAAACUUUUCAUAUCGAAAAACAAAACAAGCUAGAAAAAAAAAAUGGCAAAAUUAAUGUGUAACCUAGACCUUCAAAUUAUUAUUGGUAUUUCUAGGAACCAACAAGCUCCCAAAUACAAUCCAAGUUGUAAAAUAAUUUUAUAGAUUACUUGAGCGUUUAAAUAGAAAAAUAUUCUACCGGUUAUCUUCAAAGCUGAAAGAGCACUUUUGCUCUAUAUCACCCACUAAUUUCUCCAACUUUCCACUACUACUUCGACUAAUUCCAAAAAGAGGAAAACAUACAAUUAUAUCUGAAAAAAAAAAAUACAAAGUAGAAGUAAAAACCGUAUCAGUCUAUUGUCUAUACAGUGAAUAAACAGAUAGAGAAAAAAACAAAACCAAAAUAACCAUGUAGCUUCUUAAAUAAUGAAAUAUUGAUACGAAACGAGAACUGCGUAGCAUGUCAAAGAAGCAUAUGAAAGAACGAAGCAGAAAGAGACGGAGAAAUACCUGUUAUUGGCACGUUACAGAAUUACAAUAUUUUAAUCUCAUCCUCCUGCUUUCAGCAAACAAAAGACGGGAUUUCUUCAUCACCAACCAAUCGAAUCAGUUAGCAAAGUAAUGUAGAUUUUUCAUCCAGAAACGCCGAUCACAAUGUUUCAGAUUUAGUGAGAACAAAAGAUCCCAACGCUGUAAUGUUUCAGUGCGUAAUUAGGUCGAACAGAUUGAGUGCAAUAAUCGAAUGAAUGCUGGAUGCCGGGAAAAAUUUUGUUUCUAGUGGAUCAGUGCUUGUGGCUUUCAGGGAAAGGCCCAGUAUCGUUGGGAGCAAAAGCUAAU